GACGAACGCUGGCGGCGUGCCUAAUACAUGCAAGUAGAACGCUGAAGGAGGAGCUUGCUUCUCUGGAUGAGUUGCGAACGGGUGAGUAACGCGUAGGUAACCUGCCUGGUAGCGGGGGAUAACUAUUGGAAACGAUAGCUAAUACCGCAUAAUAGCAGUUGUUGCAUGACAACUGUUUGAAAGGUGCAAUUGCACCACUACCAGAUGGACCUGCGUUGUAUUAGCUAGUUGGUGGGGUAACGGCUCACCAAGGCGACGAUACAUAGCCGACCUGAGAGGGUGAUCGGCCACACUGGGACUGAGACACGGCCCAGACUCCUACGGGAGGCAGCAGUAGGGAAUCUUCGGCAAUGGACGGAAGUCUGACCGAGCAACGCCGCGUGAGUGAAGAAGGUUGUCGGAUCGUAAAGCUCUGUUGUAAGAGAAGAACGAGUGUGAGAGUGGAAAGUUCACACUGUGACGGUAUCUUACCAGAAAGGGGCGGCUAACUACGUG
rnacentral:rRNA from 1 species